rnacentral:rRNA from 1 species
AGCGAACGCUGGCGGCAGGCCUAACACAUGCAAGUCGAACGAACCCUUCGGGGAUAGUGGCGGACGGGUGAGUAACACGUGGGAACGUGCCUUGAGGUUCGGAAUAACUCAGGGAAACUUGUGCUAAUACCGAAUGUGCCCUUCGGGGGAAAGAUUUAUCGCCUUUAGAGCGGCCCGCGUCUGAUUAGCUAGUUGGUGAGGUAAUGGCUCACCAAGGCUACGAUCAGUAGCUGGUCUGAGAGGAUGACCAGCCACAUUGGGACUGAGACACGGCCCAAACUCCUACGGGAGGCAGCAGUGGGGAAUCUUGCGCAAUGGGCGAAAGCCUGACGCAGCCAUGCCGCGUGGAUGAUGAAGGUCUUAGGAUUGUAAAAUCCUUUCACCGGUGAAGAUAAUGACUGUAGCCGGAGAAGAAGCCCCGGCUAACUUCGUGCCAGCCGCCGCCGUAAUAC